GACGAACGCUGGCGGCGUGCUUAACACAUGCAAGUCGAACGGAAAGGCCCUUCGGGGUACUCGAGUGGCGAACGGGUGAGUAACACGUGGGUGAUCUGCCCUGCACUUCGGGAUAAGCCUGGGAAACUGGGUCUAAUACCGGAUAUGACUACGGAUCGCAUGGUCUGUGGUGGAAAGCUUUUGCGGUGUGGGAUGGGCCCGCGGCCUAUCAGCUUGUUGGUGGGGUCACGGCCUACCAAGGCGACGACGGGUAGCCGGCCUGAGAGGGUGACCGGCCACACUGGGACUGAGGUACGGCCCAGACUCCUACGGGAGGCAGCAGUGGGGAAUAUUGCACGAUGGGCGCGAGCCUGAUGCAGCGACGCCGCGUGAGGGACGACGGCCUUCGGGUUGUAAGCCUCUUUCAGCACAGGCUAAGCGCGAGUGACUGGAUGUGCAGAAGAAGGACGGCCAUGUACGUGCCAGCCGCCGCGUUAAUACGUAGGGUCCGAGCGGUGUCCGGAAUUACUGGGCGUAAAGAGCUCGUAGGUGGUUUGUCGCGUUGUUCGUGAAACUCACAGCUCAACUGUGGGCGUGCGGGCGAUACGGGCAGACUAGAGUACUGCAGGGGAGACUGGAAUUCCUGGUGUAGCGGUGGAAUGCGCAGAUAUCAGGAGGAACACCGGUGGCGAAGGCGGGUCUCUGGGCAGUAACUGACGCUGAGGAGCGAAAGCGUGGGGAGCGAACAGGAUUAGAUACCCUGGUAGUCCACGCCGUAAACGGUGGGUACUAGGUGUGGGUUUCCUUCCUUGGGAUCCGUGCCGUAGCUAACGCAUUAAGUACCCCGCCUGGGGAGUACGGCCGCAAGGCUAAAACUCAAAGAAAUUGACGGGGGCCCGCACAAGCGGCGGAGCAUGUGGAUUAAUUCGAUGCAACGCGAAGAACCUUACCUGGGUUUGACAUGCACAGGACGCUGGUAGAGAUAUCAGUUCCCUUGUGGCCUGUGUGCAGGUGGUGCAUGGCUGUCGUCAGCUCGUGUCGUGAGAUGUUGGGUUAAGUCCCGCAACGAGCGCAACCCCUAUCUUAUGUUGCCAGCGCGUCAUGGCGGGGACUCGUAAGAGACUGCCGGGGUCAACUCGGAGGAAGGUGGGGAUGACGUCAAGUCAUCAUGCCCCUUAUGUCCAGGGCUUCACACAUGCUACAAUGGCCGGUACAAAGGGCUGCGAUGCCGUGAGGUGGAGCGAAUCCUUUAAAGCCGGUCUCAGUUCGGAUCGGGGUCUGCAACUCGACCCCGUGAAGUCGGAGUCGCUAGUAAUCGCAGAUCAGCAACGCUGCGGUGAAUACGUUCCCGGGCCU
rnacentral:rRNA from 1 species